CUUGGUGGCUAUAGCAUCUGUGCCCCACCCGAUCCCAUCUCGAACUCGGCCGUGAAACCAGAUUGCGCCGAUGGUACUAUGCCUUAAGGUAUGGAAGAGUAGGUCGUCGCCAGGC
rnacentral:rRNA from 1 species